rnacentral:rRNA from 1 species
AUGUUUCUUGGAUCUAAUCUGAUCUCUUGGUGUGCCAGAAAACAAGCUACUGUUUCUAGGUCCAGCAUAGAGGCAGAGUAUAAGGCACUAGCUAAUGCUACUGCAGAGAUUAUAUGGGUACAAUCCAUUCUUAAGGAGCUUGGUGUGAGAACUACUCAAGCCCCAUGUCUGUGGUGUGACAAUUUGGGUGCAACUUAUCUCUCAGCAAAUCCAGUCUUUCAUGCAAGAACAAAACAUAUUGAGAUAGAUUUCCAUUUUGUCAGAGAAAGAGUUGCUAGUAAACUCCUAGACAUUCGGUUCAUUCAUUCCAAGGACCAGAUUGCAGAUGGGUUUAUCAAAGCCUUGCCCAUAAGGAGCUUUGAGAACUUCAAGUAUAAUCUCAACUUGAUGAAGUUGUGA